AUAAUACUCCAUAGAUUAGAGAUACUGGAAUGUUCUUUAGUCGAAAGUUCUGGCGCCUUAGGAUGGAUCUGCGGUCGAUUAGGUUGUUGUUGGGGUAACGGCCCAACAAGCCUGUAAUCGAUACGGGUUGUGGGAGCAAUAGCCCGGAGAUGGAAUCUGAGACACGAUUCCAGGCCCUACGGGGCGCAGCAGGCGCGAAAACUUUACAAUGCAGGAAACUGUGAUAAGGGAACUCCGAGUGCCCGUAUACGCGGGCUGUCCAGGUGUUUAAAAAUCAUCUGAAGAAAGGGCCGGGCAAGACCGGUGCCAGCCGCCGCGGUAAUACCGGCGGCUCGAGUGGUGGCCACUAUUAUUGGGCUUAAAGCGUCCGUAGCUGGACCGAUAAGUCUCUUGGGAAAUCCGCCGGCUCAACCGGCGGGCGUCUAAGGGAUACUGUUGGUCUAGGGACCGGGAGAGGUGAGAGGUACUCCGGGGGUAGGAGUGAAAUCCUGUAAUCCCCGGGGGACCACCGAUGGCGAAGGCAUCUCACCAGAACGGCUCCGACAGUGAGGGACGAAAGCUGGGGGAGCGAACCGGAUUAGAUACCCGGGUAGUCCCAGCCGUAAACUAUGCGCGUUAGGUGU
rnacentral:rRNA from 1 species